UGCGUAGGCGGUCGGGAAAGUUUGAUGUGAAAGCUCCGAGCUCAACUUGGAAAAUGCAUUGAAAACUAUCCGACUAGAGGAUUGUAUGGGAGACUGGAAUUCUCGGUGUAGCAGUGAAAUGCGUAGAUAUCGAGAGGAACACCAGUGGCGAAGGCGAGUCUCUGGACAAUUCCUGACGCUGAGGCACGAAAGCUAGGGAGCAAACA
rnacentral:rRNA from 1 species